rnacentral:tRNA from 1 species
GUGCUCUUGUGGCGCAACGGUUAGCGCGUUCGGCUGUUAACCGAAAGGUUGGUGGUUCGAAUCCACCCAGGAGCGGAUGA